AGUGAACGCUGGCGGUAGGCCUAACACAUGCAAGUCGAACGGCAGCACAGUAAGAGCUUGCUCUUACGGGUGGCGAGUGGCGGACGGGUGCGGAAUACAUCGGAAUCUACUUUUUCGUGGGUGAGAACGUAGGGGAACAUACGCUAAUACCGCAUACGACCUACGGGUGAAAGCAGGGGAUCUUCGGACCUUGCGUGAUUGAAUGAGCCGAUGUCGGAUUAGCUAGUUGGCGGGGUAAAGGCCCACCAAGGCGACGAUCCGUAGCUGGUCUGAGAGGAUGAUCAGCCACACUGGAACUGAGACACGGUCCAGACUCCUACGGGAGGCAGCAGUGGGGAAUAUUGGACAAUGGGCGAAAGCCUGAUCCAGCCAUACCGCGUGGGUGAAGAAGGCCUUCGGAUUGUAAAGCCCUUUUGUUGGGGAAGAAAAGCAGCAGGUUAAUACCCCGCUGUUUUGACGGUACCAAAAGAAUAAGCACCGGCUAACUUCGUG
rnacentral:rRNA from 1 species